rnacentral:rRNA from 1 species
CCUACGGGAGGCAGCAGUGGGGAAUUUUGGACAAUGGGGGCAACCCUGAUCCAGCAAUGCCGCGUGAGUGAAGAAGGCCUUCGGGUUGUAAAGCUCUUUCAGCCGGGAAGAAAUCGCAUGGGUUAAUACCCUGUGUGGAUGACGGUACCGUAAUAAGAAGCCCCG